rnacentral:lncRNA from 1 species
UGCCAUCAGUAGGAGAAGAACAUGCCUCAUGGCACUCACUGGUCCCAAGAGAAUGAGAGAUACGUGGAGCUGAGCAGCUACGGCCAAUGCCUGCAGCCUGAGCAAAGCCAUUGUAGCUGACCUGGGAGCAGGUUAAUACAUGCUUGUUACCGCAUGCACCUGAGAUUCUGUGAUUGGAGCCUGAAGAUGUGUGUGGCUGCCUUGUGGCUAUGACGGCUGUGGCUGUAAAGGCUCUGUACUGAAGGCAUGGCCACCUCACUGAGUAUGACAGCAGGGAGAUGGGAAGAGCCAGAUUUCUCAUGCGGAUAUGAAGACAUUAACUGAGCCCUGGAUCCUACUCUGCCUUUGAACUUCAUGUUGUAUGAGGUUUCCCUAUUCCCAGAGACACAACAAUAUUCAAAUUAGGCCAGUUGAUAACCCUACAAUGGCCUCUAAGUGUUUGAGUGAAAGGAAGUGUGGCACAUCUCUCACUGUAAAUCAAAAGCUAAAAAUUAUAAAGCUUAGUCAGGAAGGCAUGUUAAAAGCGGAGAGAGGCUGACAGUAAGGCCUCUCCAAACAGUUAGCCAAACUGUGAAUGCAAAAGAAAAGUUCUUGAAGGGAAUUAAAAGGGCUACUCCUGGAAACACAUAAAUGAUAAGAAAGUGAAACGGUCUUAUUGCUUAUAUGGCAAAAGUUCUACUGGUCUGGAUAGAAGAUCAAUCCAACCACAACCUUCCCUUAAGCCAAAGCCUAAUCCAGAGCAAAGCCCUAACUCUCUUCAGUUCUAUGAAGGCUGAGAGAUGUGAGGAAGCUGCAGAAGAAAAUUUGGAAGCCAGCAGAGGUUGAUUCAUGGGAUUUAAGGAAAGAAGCCUUCUCAGUAACAUAAAAGUGCAAGAUGAAGCAGCAAGUGCUGAUGGAGAAGCUGCAACAAUUUAUCCAGAAGAUCUACCUAAGAUCAUUGAUGAAGGCGGCUAUACUAAACAACAGAUUUUCAAUGUAGAUUAAACAGCCUUCUGUUGGAAGAAGAUGCCAUCUAGGACUUUCAUAUCUAGAGAGAAGUCAAUACCUGGUUGCUUUUCUUUUUUCUCCUUUUGAGACAGAGUUUCACUCUUGUUGCCCAAGUUGGAGUACAGUGGCACAAUCUCGGGUCACUGCAACCUCUACCUCCGAGGUUCAAGCUAUUCCUCCACCUCAGCCUCCCGAGUAGCUGGGAUUACAGGCACCCACCACCACACCCAGCUAAUUUUUUGUAUUUUUAGUAGAGACGGGAUUUCAUUAUGUUGGCCAGGCUGGUCUCAAACUCCUGACCUCAGGUGAUCUGCCUGCCUCGGCCUCCCAAAGUGCAGGGAUUACAGGCGUGAGCCACUGCUCCAGGCCCGAGAAGUCAAUACCUGGUUUCAGUGCUUCAGAGGAAUGGCUGACUCUCUUGGUUAGGGGCUAAUGCAACUCAUAAUUUUAAGUUGAAGCCAACAUUCAUUAAGCAUUUCAAAACUCCUAGGGCCCUUAAGAAUUAUGCUAAAUCUACUCUGCCUAUGCUCCAGAAAUGAAACAACAGAGCAUGGAUGACAGCACAUCUGUUUACAGACUGAUUUACUGAAUAUUUGAAGCCUAUUGUUGAGACCUAUUGCUUCGAGAAAAAGAUUCCUUUCAAAAUAUUACUGCUCAUUUAUAACGAGUCACCCAAGAGCUCUGAUGGAGAUGUACAAGAAGAUGCAUAUUGUUUUCAUGCCUGCUAACACAACAUUCAUUCUGCAGCCCGUGGAUCAAGGAGUAAUUCUGACUUUCAAGUUUUAUUAUCUAAGAAAUAUAUUCCAUAGGCUAUAGCUGCCAUACAUGGUGAUUCCUCUGAUGGAUCUGGGCAAAGUAAAUUUAAAACCUUCUGGAAGGGAUUUAUUCUAGAUGUUGUUAAGAACAUUCACGUUUCAUGGGAGGAGGUCAAAAUAUCUACCUUACCAGGAGUUUGGAAAGUUGAUUCCAACCAUCAUCAAUGACUUUGAGGGGUUAGAGACUUCAGUGGCGGAAGUGGAGCCUAAAGACGUGAGUAAACUGCUGCAAUCUCAUGUCAAAACUUUAAUGGAUGAAUUAUUUCUUCUGGAUAAGCUAAGAAAGUGGUUUUGGGGAUGGAAUCUACUGGUGAAGAUGCUGUGAACAUUGUUGAAAUGAUAACAAGGGAUUUAGAAUAUUACACAAACUCAGUUGAUAAAGCUGCAGCAGGAUUUGAGAGGACUGACUAAUUUGAAAGGAAUUCUACUGUAAGUAAAAUGCUAUCAAAUAGCAUCAUAUGCUAUAGAGAAAUCUUUCAUAAAUCAAUAUGGCAGACUUCAUAUUUGUCUUAUUUUAAGAAAUUGCCACAGCCACCUCAACCUUCAACAACCAUCACCCUGAUUAGGCAGCAGCCAUCAACAUUGAGGCCAGAGCCUCCACAAUAAAAAAGAUGAUGACUUGAUG